GAUGAACGCUGGCGGCGUGCCUAACACAUGCAAGUCGAACGAACAGACGAGGAGCUCGCUCUUCUGUCGUUAGCGGCGGACGGGUGAGUAACACGUGGAUAACCCAUCUCUAUGACUUGGAUAAUUUCGGGAAACUGUAGCUAAUACUACAUAAUAUCACGAACCGCAUGGUUCAUUGGAGAAAGACGGUUUUGCUGUCACUUAUAGACGGAUCCGCGCCGCAUUAGCUAGUUGGUACGGUAACGCCGUACCAAGGCAACGAUGCGUUGCCGACCUGAGAGAGUGAUCGGCCACACGAGAACUUGGACACGCUCCAGACGCCUGCGAGAGGCAGCAGUAGGGAAUGUUACGCAGUGGGCGGAAGCCUGGCGCAGCAACCGCGAGUGAGUGAUGGAGGUCUUCGGAUCGUAAAGCUCUGUUGUUGGGGAAGAACAACUGUGAGAAUAGAUAUAGACGUAUUGACGGUACCUAAAGAGAAAGCAACGGCUAACUACGUG
rnacentral:rRNA from 1 species